rnacentral:rRNA from 1 species
UACGUAGGGGGCAAGCGUUGUCCGGAAUCAUUGGGCGUAAAGAGCGCGUAGGCGGCCCAGUCAGUCCGCUCUGAAAGUCAGGGGCUUAACCCCUGAAUGCGGGUGGAUACUGCUGGGCUAGAGUCCGGAAGAGGCGAGUGGAAUUCCUGGUGUAGCGGUGAAAUGCGCAGAUAUCAGGAGGAACACCGAUGGCGAAGGCAGCUCGCUGGGACGGUACUGACGCUGAGACGCGAAAGCGUGGGGAGCAAACAGG